ACAACAACAACAUUGGCAGAAACCACUACAUUGGCAACUACAUCAGUCACACCAGAAAUUACAACAACUGUACCUCCACCACUAC